UACAGAGGGUGCAAGCGUUAAUCGGAAUUACUGGGCGUAAAGAGUCUGUAGGCGGAUUAUUAAGUCGGAUGUGAAAUCCCUGGGCUUAACCUAGGAGCGGCAUUCGAUACUGGUAGUCUAGAGUGUGCAAGAGGAUGGGGGAAUUCCUGGUGUAGCAGUGAAAUGCGUAGAGAUCAGGAGGAACAUCAAUGGCGAAGGCACCUUUCUGGGGCAACACUGACGCUGAGAGACGAAAGCGUGGGGAGCAAACAGGAUUAGAUACCCCCGUAGUCC
rnacentral:rRNA from 1 species